rfam:Kutzneria albida DSM 43870, complete genome.
CUUGACCGAGCCGAUCCACAGCGGCUCGUCCCGGUCCUGGCCGUAGGUGGCCAGCAGGGCGUUCGCCUC